ACAGCAGCCGCCGCGGUAAUACGUAUGUCACAAGCGUUAUCCGGAUUUAUUGGGCGUAAAGCGCGUCUAGGUGGUUAUGUAAGUCUGAUGUGAAAAUGUAGGGCUCAACUCUGUAUCGCGUUGGAAACUGUGUAACUAGAGUACUGGAGAGGUAAGCGGAACUGCAAGUGUAGAGGUGAAAUUCGUAGAUAUUUGUAGGAAUGCCGAUGGGGAAGCCAGCUUACUGGACAGAUACUGACGCUAAAGCGCGAAAGCGUGGGUAGCAAACAGGAUUAGAUACCCGAGUAGUCCCUGUCUCUUAUACC
rnacentral:rRNA from 1 species